GAAGGGUGAACGCGAGGAGGAGGAGGGAGAAGGGGCGGGCGCUUUCGUCACAACUGCCUCCCUUCUUCCCUGCUUUCUGAGAGCGAGGAGCGUACAGACAUUUUAAACUUACUUCCUUAAUUGUGUACACAAUACCUGGAAGGGAAAGGGGAUGGAUAACGGGGUGCCUUGAUACGGUUUGUGUUUAGAGUUGGACUGAGGGAGAAGGCAGCGCGUGCCACUGCGCAGGCGCGCCCGUCCCCUCAUUUUUUUCUUGGUGGGUGGGUGGCGCGGGCUGGAAGGUUCUGGAAAGCGCGGCGACGGUAGUUCGUUGCGGUUUUCCUCCUCCCCCCUCGAGAAACAGGCAAGAGAGCGCAGCGCACAGGCUUGACUGCUUCUUCGGGUGACGCGGAUACUAGACAGCGAAGCCUCGCCAUCCGUUGAGGUGACUCCCUUCCCGAGGGAAGGGCUUUCCGGCGACGGUGGCGCAGUGAGUUUUAAAUAAACACCCGAGUGCGCAUGCGCUGCUGGCCUAAAGGGCUCCGCUGCAUUUUAAUAAUAAAAAGACUUACAAUUUAAAGAAGUCAUGAAACAUAAGGGAAAGAAAAUGGCUGCUCCUGGAAUGGAGGGAGGACAUAUAGAAGAUUUUGGGUUCAAUCCCAGUGUGAACGUGGUCAGUUGACACUCCAGAAGAGAUUGGGGACUUGCAGCCAAACAACACCAAAGAGUGGUCCAGUUGGCAACUGUUAUUGAAUAAGAAGAAGAAAAGAGAAUUUCUACUGCAGUGGGGUUUCAAAGAUAAGGAAUCCAAACCAUGUUGCUAUGGCAGCAUUCGAAACCUAUAUAGUAAAUGUCUAUUUAAAAGGGGGUAAGUGUACUCUUCCUUUGUAUCUUUUUGUGAUGAAAUAACAGCUAUUUGUUCAAAGUAAUAUAUGAUUUAGGACUACCCUCCAAGAUUACCAAUAAAGAUUAAGACAACAGAUGCGGAGUCAAAAAGGUUAGUUUGAUGGAAAGGCCUGUGACUCAUGACAUUCAUCUUCAAGAUAUCCUGAACAGAGUUGGGUUUACUCUGUGGGUGAGCAUUGAGAGAUGUCUGUGCUCAGCAGCACAUGCCAAUCUGUGGAGCAGACAUAGCAAUUAAUCCUUAAUCGCUUCAAAUAAAGGAAGUAAUAAAAACAGGACUUUGAAAAGACCUUGAUCAACCGUUACUUGUGAAUUUUUAUGGCAAUGCAAUAAAUAAUGGCCUGGUUAGAAUGAGAGCACAGAUGACCAGAUUGUUCUGGUUGGUGCUCCAUGGCAUGGCCAUUUGUCCUUUGGGGUGCCGCAGUUUUAUUUGGCCCAAUACUUUUUAAUAUUUACAUUAAAAUACUGGGUAAAAUUGAAGUGAUGUUGUUGGUAAUGGACCACUUAUUAAAUUAAAGAACCAAACUAGCAAUGUAAGAGAUUAACUUAUAGACCAGUGGUUCUCAACCUGUGAGUCCCCAGAUGUUUUGGCCUUCAACUCCCA